rnacentral:pre_miRNA from 10 species
UUGAUUCGCUCAUUCAGUGUGAGGUAGUAGAUUGUAUAGUUUAAGGGUAGUGAUUUUACCCGUUUCAGAAGAUAACUAAACAGUCUACUGCCUUCCUUGAGGAGUGAUAUUGCUUCAGGU